AUCAACGCUGGCGGCGCGCUUAAACACAUGCAAGUCGAACGAGAAAGGGGAGCAAUCCCUGAGUACAGUGGCGUACGGGUGAGUAACACGUGGAUAAUCUAUCUCUUAGUGGGGAAUUAGCCCUGGAAACCGGGGGAUAAUACCGCAUAAGCUCGAGGAGGAGGAAAGCAGCAAAUGCGCUGAGAGAGGAGUCCGCGGCCGAUUAGCUAGUUGGGGAGGGUAAGAGCCUACCAAGGCAGAGAUCGGUAGCCGGCCUGAGAGGGCACACGGCCCACACUGGCACUGAAACACACGGCCAGACUCCUACGGGAGGCAGCAGUGGGGAAUCUUGCACAAUGGGGGAAACCCUGAUGCCAGCGACGCCGCGUGAGCGAUGAAGCCCUUCGGGGUAGGUAAAGCUCUUUCGGCAGGGAAGAUGAUGACGGUACCUGCAGAAGCAGCUGCGGCUAACUACGUGCCAGCAGCCGCGGUAAUACGUAGGCAGCGAGCGUUGUUCGGAGUACUGGGCGUAAAGGGUGUGUAGGCGGUUGUUUAAGUUUGGUGUGAAAUCUCCCGGCUCAACUGGGAGGGUGCGCCGAAUACUGAAUGACUUGGAGUGCUGGAGAGGAGAGUGGAAUUCCUGGUGUAGCGGUGGAAUGCGUAGAUAUAGGAGGAACACCGGUGGUGUAGACGGCUCUCUGGACCGUACUGACGCUGAGACACGAAAGCGUGGGUAGCAAACAGGAUUAGAUACCCUGGUAGUCCACGCCCCUAAACGAUGCAUAUUUGGUGUGCGGCAGUUCAUUCUGUCCGUGCUGGAGCUAACGCGUUAAAUAUGCCGCCUGGGGAGUACAGUCGCAAGGCUGAAACUCAAAGGAAUUGACCGGGGGCCCGCACAAGCGGUGGAGCAUGUGGUUCAAUUCGACGGCAACGCGAAGAACCUUAACCUGGGCUCGAACGUGCUGGUCAACGCGAGGUGGAAACACUUUUACCCCGCAAGGGGGUCCAGUCGAGGUUGCUGCAUGGCUGUCGUCAGCUCGUGUCGUGAGAUGUUGGGUUAAGGUCCCGCAACGAGCGCAACCCUUGUCCUGUGUUCCAUCAUUCAGCUUGGGAACUCGCAGGAGACCGCCAGGGGAUAACCUGGAGGAAGGUGGGGAUGACGUCAAGUCCUCAUGGCCUUUAUGUCCAGGGCUACACACGUGCUACAAUGGACGGUACAAAGCUCCAGCAAACCCGCGAGGGGGAGCCAAUCGCAAAAAACCGUUCUCAGUUCGGAUUUGCAGGCUGCAACUCGCCUGCAUGAAGCUGGAAUCGCUAGUAAAUGCAGAUCAGCACGCUGCCGUGAAUACGUUUCCCGGGCCUUGUACACAACCGCCCGUCACAUCACGAAAGUGGAUUUGUACUAGAAGUCUGCGCGCUGGACCCGCAAGGGAGGCAGCGGCCCAAGGUAUGAUUCUUGAUUGGGGUG
rnacentral:rRNA from 1 species